rnacentral:lncRNA from 1 species
CUAUUACAAAAAUCUUGCUUUUUAAUCCCGCUGUUUCUAAUUCAUAUGUUACCCAAGAAAAUAUACGGUUUUGCAGUAGGGGAGCUGAUACAAAUAUGUGUAAGUGGCAGAAAUUAGAAUUACUAUAAAAAAAAUUAAUAAACUAUUACGUCAACUGAACUGUUGCAACACUGAAACUAAAAAUUCAAAAGUACUCCUUCCAAAAUAACCCGAUUCUGAUUGAUAUGAGAAACUGGAGUAUUCACCUCAACCAAGCUAAGAGAGACAUUCUUCAUUAAAGCCUGCAAUAUUAUGGAAUAAUAACUCAACUAUAAUUUAUAGGUUACUGGAAAUAAUAUAUUUCACUAAUAUGCUUCUAUUGGGAACUGCAUAUCUGAUUGACUCUUAUCUGGGCAGGGUGAAUUUGGAACCACAUUGUUGUUGUCAUUUAUAGAGCUCUCCCCUUGUCGAAGUGCAGCAGUGGGAACGUCCAUUUCUUGUAUCAGAACAUUACGCUUGCAAAAGCUGAAUCCUUUUGAAGCAUUGCAAUGUCUCACUUUGCAAAAUGCAUCUUUCUCUCCUCUAGCACAAUAGCAUAACUUGUAGAAACAAAAACGGUGCACAACAUUAACUAUUAGCCGUACAUCGGGAAGGAGGAACAUAGAAUCUGUUAAUAGGAGCCAACGUGUACAAAUAUACAAAGAUAAAAUAGUCAAUUACCUGUGCAGUGCUAAGCCCAUUGAGCAAUUCUUUUGGUGAUACCGGAUAUACGAGACGCACCAGUAGUUCUAUAAAGCCAAAAAUAAGUUGCAGUCCUGGUCAGUAUACAACAUAUUGUGCAUUGAAAAUACUCAUAAAAUUAUUCUUUACAGAAAGAAUAAUGUCACUAUCUCAAAAUUAAGGUACAGAGAAGAAAGAAGAUUAUUGU